CUCGUAUGAGGGGACGGGAGGACUGUCCUUGCUGCCGUGGUGGGCAGUGGCUGGCCAGGCCCCGACAAACGAGCCCGAGGAGCUCCUGGGAGCCCGAGCCGGAGCCGGGCGAGCGCAGCUUGCAGCUCCCGCCUCGCCGUCCCGGGGGGGCGUCUCGCCUCGCACCCCGCCUCUGGACUUGCCCCUUUCUCUGGGCGUGCGGACCGAGCCAGCGCUUAGGCCGUGAGCGAGCCCGGGGGCCGCCGGCGGGGGAAGGCACCGCGGGCACUGAUUCGCCAUG
rnacentral:other from 11 species